GUCCCCGUAGCUCAGCCUGGAUAGAGCACUGGCCUCCGAAGCCAGGAGCACAGGUUCAAAUCCUGUCGGGGACACCA
rnacentral:tRNA from 1 species